UUUAUAGUAUAAAUAUGUUCCAUGCAAUAUUUGGGACAUACAUAUGCUAGAA
rfam:Loxodonta africana unplaced genomic scaffold scaffold_18, whole genome shotgun sequence.